GUUAGAGUGGCUGAUCCGUCCACUGUAGUUGAUAUGAUUGGGAGUUUCCCAAGAAUCAUUCGUCAAGGAAAGGUAAUUGAGUCUGUACUAUUCAUAUUUUGUCUCACAUUGCAUUGUUUAAUUGCAUAUAACGUGUAACUAUUUUUCUCUAUAUGUGAGCUGGUUUUCGUAGCAUGAAUUUGUUCUCACUCUCUCUCUCUCUCUGCCUUGAAGCAAUUGUGUUUUUAGCCGUUGAGGCAAUACUUGUUGUGAUGUAAUGGCACUUACAUCUCUAUUGAAUUUGAUGAUUGGUUAAUGGAGUUCAGGGGCCUAAACAACCCUGGAUGGUGGCAGAAGAUGAUAAAGAUUCUGUUGUAGAAGAAGAAGAGCUCACCCUUGUGCUGCUUAAAAUCCAAUAAUUCAUCUUUGCUUACCUUGGUACAGAGCUUAAGAAAUGAUCAUUGAAUUUGAAAAGAGGUUACAAAUGGGAAUUUCAUGAGAUACUUAGGAAAAGAUGGCCAUAACUGGAGGAAGAAGAAAUAUGGAAAGAUAGGGAAGGAAGCUCAUGAGAGGCUCAAGGCUGGGAGUGUUGAUGUGCUGCAUUGCUACAUGGAGAAGAAAAUGAAAAUUUCCAGAGGCGAAGCUAUUGGUUGCUUGAAGAUUGUUAUUUUGGAAGGGCUUUUGCUGCACAUUCUCAUUUGCUUCUUAUUUGGAUGACACCUGCUGCAGGGAGCGCUCGAACAUUAUUCUUGUCCACUACCACGAAGUAAAGGAUUAUGCCAUGGAGUUAGAUGAGACACGCAUACGUAAUGCAGCACACUUGAUGGUUGCCAGUUUGGCUGGAAGUUUAACUCAUGUAACUAGCAAGGUUUCAUCUCAAACUAGAGAUCUCUUUUGCUGUUCUAUUGUCCUGUUUUGUUAUCUGAAAAUAUAGCAUUCCUAUCUGAUUAGAAUCUUAUGUUUGUCUGCCUUUGUUACCUGGUGUUUGACAAUGAUUGUGUGAUUACUGAUAGGAACCCUUAUGUGGCUCAAUAUCAAGUCAGCUUAUGAAUUCGCUUCAGGGUUUAAAUAUUGCAAGUGAACUUGAACAAGCUGUGCAACUUGUUACUAAUGAUAACCUUGAUCUGGGUUGUGCAUUGAUUGAACAAGCUGCAACAGAAAAUAUUGGAUUGGGGUGGCAUUUUUGACGUGCAACAAUGAUGUAAUUUGCUUGAAUGUUCAUUUUGUUUGAUAAGGAUACAAAUACUUUGUGGAGUUGCACUAGUUAUUGUUGGAUGUUUGGUUGAAUUGUACAAGUUAUAACUUUUGGAUAUUUUGUGGAUAUUGCACUAUUUUAUUGUAUUAGGAUGAACUUAUUUGUAAUGAUGAAUGGAUAUUUU